UGUGAACCCUUGUGCAAGUUUUAUGAUUACCAUCUCACUCCCAUUGUAGAAACCCUGCCAUCACAUUUGAAAGACACCAAUGACGUCCUUAAGAAAUUAGACCAUUUACAGCUAGAUCCGGAUAUGAUUCUCGCUACUUGCGAUGUUGAGGCUCUAUACACAUCUAUCAGACACCGGGACGGUCUAGAAGCGAUCUCUUCAGAAAAAAGAUAUCAGCCAACACUGUACUCCACGCCUCCUCAGGACACCCUCCACACUUGAUCAAAAAUAUACCAACAAGGCAGUUCUUGAGAGCACGUCGGAUCUGUUACAGUGAGGACAGUUUUGAAGCCCAAGCUGAAGAUCUCAGGGUACGAGGCAUUGACCGCGUCUACAUCAGCAACCGGGGAGGUGAUUGGAAAAGAAUACUUGCACAAAAAGAAACUUGCUGGAUAGAAGUAUUAGGCACAAGGACUCCGGAUGGCCUCAAUGAAGUGAACAGCUUUGUUCCCUUUUUAUAUCAACAUGCUUUUUGAAAAUUCGCUGAGAAAUUGAUGCCAAUUGGCUCUUUGAUCUAUCUUUUGGGAUGUGAUGAUCCAAUAAUUUGACCGCUGAUUAUGUCCUUUGUCCCUUCCCUUUCUUCCCCUCCCCC